rnacentral:rRNA from 1 species
UACGUAGGGUGCGAGCGUUAAUCGGAAUUACUGGGCGUAAAGGGUGCGCAGGCGGCUUCGCAAGUCAGGCGUGAAAUCCCCGAGCUUAACUUGGGAAUUGCGUUUGAAACUACGAGGCUGGAGUGUGGCAGAGGGAGGUGGAAUUCCACGUGUAGCGGUGAAAUGCGUAGAUAUGUGGAGGAACACCGAUGGCGAAGGCAGCCCCCUGGGCCAACACUGACGCUCAUGCACGAAAGCGUGGGGAGCAAACAGG